UACGGAGGGUGCAAGCGUUGUCCGGAUUUACUGGGCUUAAAGGGUGCGUAGGCGGGUUGGUAAGUCAGGGGUGAAACCUCCGAGCUUAACUCGGAAACUGCCUUUGAUACUAUCAGUCUUGAAUUCAGUUGAGGUGGGCGGAAUGUGUCGUGUAGCGGUGAAAUGCUUAGAUAUGACACAGAACACCAAUUGCGAAGGCAGCUCGCUAAACUGACAUUGACGCUGAGGCACGAAAGCGUGGGGAGCAAACAGG
rnacentral:rRNA from 1 species